rnacentral:rRNA from 1 species
CGGCGUGCUUAAUACAUGCAAGUCGAACGGAGACAGUAGCAAUAUUGCUUAGUGGCGAACGGGUGAGUAACGCGUGGCUGAUCUGCCCCGAAGAGAGGGAUAGCAGUUCGAAAGGACUGAUAAUACCUCAUGUGGUUAUAGGUUUUAGAAUCUUAUAACUAAACGGCGAAAGUCGCUUCGGGAGGAGGCUGCGUCCCAUCAGCUAGUUGGUAAGGUAACGGCCUACCAAGGCGAUGACGGGUAGGGGACCUGAGAGGGUGGCCCCCCACAAUGGAACUGAAACACGGUCCAUACACCUACGGGUGGCAGCAGUAGGGAAUAUUGGUAAUGUGCGAAAGCGCGAAACCCAGCAACGCCGCGUGCACGAUGAAGGCCGUUCGGGUUGUAAAGUGUCUUUUAGAAGGAUGAGGAAGGACAGUACUUCUAGAAUAAGCCUCGGCUAACUACGUGCCAGCCGCCGC